AAAGAGCAAAAAGAUUUAUUGAGAACUCAUUGAAAUCAUCAAUGUUGGAACUGGAUGAAAUGAUAAACCAAGCAAAUUCUGGAUUAGAGGCCUCCAAACGAAGCAUGGAAAAUAUGGACACGAUUGAUGGGGAUGUCAAAUUAGACAAACAUUCUGCAGAAGAAUUUAAAGAAACCCCCAAUAUCUGAAGAUUGACAACAACGGAACGGAGUCAAACGAUGGUGCAUCCAAAGGAUUACAAUAGUACCUUUAGGAUGAUAUUUCGUCUCUCCCUCUCUCUCUCUCUCUCUUUUAUUUUUUUUUCUUUACAACCAAAGAUGAA